UACGUAGGGGGCUAGCGUUGUCCGGAUUUAUUGGGCGUAAAGAGCGUGUAGGCGGCCAGGUAGGUCCGUUGUGAAAACUGGAGGCUCAACCUUCAGAGGUCGACCGAAACCCCCUGGCUAGAGUCCGGGAGAGGAGAGUGGAAUUCCUGGUGUAGCGGUGAAAUGCGCAGAUAUCAGGAAGAACACCCGUGGCGAAAGCGGCUCUCUGGAACGGUACUGACGCUGAGACGCGAAAGCGUGGGGAGCGAACAGG
rnacentral:rRNA from 1 species